CUCAUUAUAACAGCUACAAUGUACUUGAUCUUGAUUAUCCUACGUGGAUAACUGUGGUAAUUCUAGAGCUAAUACAUGCACCAAAGCUCUGACUUUUGGACGAGCGCAUCUAUUAGAUUAAAACCAAUCGGGCUCUAAACCCGUCAUUUGGUGACUCUGAAUAGCUAUGGCUGAUCGCAUGGUCUUGUACCGGCGACGUAUCUAUCAAGUGUCUGCCUUAUCAACUUUCGAUGGUAGUUUAUGUGCCUACCAUGGUUGUAACGGGUAACGGAGAAUAAGGGUUCGACUCCGGAGAGGGAGCCUGAGAAACGGCUACCACAUCCAAGGAAGGCAGCAGGCGCGCAAAUUACCCACUCUCGGCAUGAGGAGGUAGUGACGAAAAAUAACGAGACCGUUCUCUUUGAGGCCGGUUAUCGGAAUGGGUACAAUUUAAACCCGUUAACGAGGAUCUAUGAGAGGGCAAGUCUGGUGCCAGCAGCCGCGGUAAUUCCAGCUCUCAAAGUGUAUAUCGUCAUUGCUGCGGUUAAAAAGCUCGUAGUUGGAUCUGCGCCUCAGGACCUGGUCCGUCUUAUGGACGAGAACUGGGCUCCUAGGCUAAUACUGCCGGUUUUCUUUACGUUACCUUCAUCGGUCGCGUAAGGUGGCCGGCGAGUUUACCUUGAAAAAAUUAGAGUGCUCAAAGCGGGCUAAUGCCUGAAUAUUCGUGCAUGGAAUAAUGAAAUAGGAUCUCGGUUCUAUUUUGUUGGUUUUCUGAUCUGAGAUAAUGGUUAAGAGGGACAGACGGGGGCAUUCGUAUCGCUGCGU
rnacentral:rRNA from 1 species